UGUCUUCGACGAGUCGAGUUGUUUGGGAAUGCAGCUCAAAAUGGGUGGUAAAUGUCAUCUAAAGCUAAAUAUUGGCGAGAGACCGAUAGCGCACAAGUAGAGUGAUCGAAAGAUGAAAAGCACUUUGAAAAGAGAGUCAAAAAGUACGUGAAAUUGCUGAAAGGGAAGCGCUUGAGACCAGACUCGAACCGUGGUGAUCAGCCGUGCUUCUGUGCGGUGUCACUUGCCACGGUUUGGGCCAGCAUCGGUUCUGGCGGUCGGAUAAAAGGUGGAGGAAUGUAGCUUCCUUCUGGGAGUGUUAAUUUAGCCACCACCACAAUGCGGCCAGCCGGGACCGAGGACCGCGCCUUCUUUGGCUAGGAUGCUGGCGUAAUGGUCUUAAGCGACCCGUCUUG
rnacentral:rRNA from 1 species